AAAUUUUUUUGGGUAUUUUUCGGUUCCUCUGGUCAGAUUUCAUGUAAAAUUUUGGAUCUUUUCGGUAUUUCAAUAUUUUGGGUACUUGUUUGGGUUUUUGGGUAUGUGUUUUAGUAUAUUUUUUUGGGUUUUCAGGUACUUCGAGUAUUUUUUGGUUCCUCAAUACCCAAACUAAUUCGGACCUGUUACGUACCUAAAAAUUACAUGUAUUUUAUAGGUAUUUGAAUUAUAGAUUUAAACCGCCCAGGACCUGAAAAGAACCAAUCCAAACCUAAACCAAAAAAUUAAAUACCUAGUUAUGUCCAAAUAUUUAGGACCCGAAAUGAACCUGACCUGCUGACUGAGAUCAGACCUACACUCUCUGAUUGUAUUUUGUUUUUGACCUUACACU
rnacentral:lncRNA from 1 species